AGCAGAGGCCCAGAGAACCGCGCUCAUCCUCAGCAGGGCACGGCGAUGAUGAACAACACGCCAAGCAGAAGAGAAAGGGGCCAGGAUGUUGGACGGGGACUGAAUUCAGAAUCAGCCCAUAGGAGAAAUGAAGUUUGAGACUUCAAAGAAUGAGCGAAGAGAGACCUUUCUCACCGUCUCCCUUCCCUGAUGGUGAAGCACAGGCCGCAGAGGGGAGGUGUUUGACCCGGGGGCGCUCAUCACAUGCUGUGCCUAGAAUCCAACUCCAGGUUCACACCAGGCCUCCAAGGCCACUCAAACCCUUUGCAAUCUAGAACUUGAAGACUAGAUCUUCUGAGAACAUCAGAGAAAGACUGUCCUUGCCACCCACACUGCAACAAAACCUCUGGAUCUUGAAAUUUGGGUUCAUAAUCUCACAACUGAGAAGGGUCCACUCAUACUCCUGGAACUGUACACCCACUGGAAUCUUUAAGGUGAAGUUAACCAAGGAAGUCUCUCUCCAGAACAUGGCAUCCUUGAUGUCAACAGCUUUUGCUAAGAUCAUGGAUCAAGACUUCUACUAGAAGGCGGAGCCGGGUGUACGGAGCGGAACAUGAAAGUGAAACAGGAGCAUGACCGCUGACGCACAGCAUCACAGGGAGACGUUUAGGCCUCCGGAUGGCUGCAGAAGGGCUUGACUGAUGUCAGGCCUUCCACAAGAGGUGGUGGAACAGAGUCUUCUCUAACUCCCCUGGGGAAAGGGAGACUCCCUUUCCUGGUCUGAUAAGUAACGGUUGCCUUCCCAGGUACUGGUGUUACGCUAGACCAGAGAGCCCUCUAGUGGCCCUGUCCGGGCGUGACAGAGGGCUCACACUUGUGUUCUGAUCCCUUCUCACUGUGUCCCUUCAGCUCCUACCUCUGUAUGGCCUGGUUUUUCCUAGGUUAUAAUUCUAGAAAAAAAUAUUAUUAUAACAUUGGAAUAAAGAGUAAUGCUACAAAGUAAUGAUUAAUAAUAUUCAUAUAUAAUCAUAUCUAUAAUCUAUUUCUAGUAUAACUAUUCUUAUUCUCUCUAUAUUUUUUAAUUACACUGGAACAGAUUGUGUCCUUUGUCUCUUGCCUUGGCACCUGGGUGGCUUGCCGCCCACACUCACCUAAGUGAGAACGUGGACAAAAAGAGUGAAUUUAUUACAAUAAAAUUAUGGGAGGCCAUUGUUUUGGACUGAGCUCAUGCACUAGGUCCCAACAGACUAAG